rnacentral:rRNA from 1 species
CUCAGGACGAACGCUGGCGGCGUGCCUAACACAUGCAAGUCGAACGGAGAUUUCAGCAAUGGAAUUUUAGUGGCGAACGGGUGAGUAACGCGUAGACACCUGCCUUCUAGAUGGGACAACACUGCGAAAGUGGUGCUAAUACCGAAUGUCGUAUUAAGUACGCAUGUAUUUGAUACCAAAGGUGGCCUCUGAACAUGCUACCGCUAGAAGAUGGGUCUGCGUCUGAUUAGCUAGUUGGUGAGGUAAUGGCUCACCAAGGCGACGAUCAGUAGCCGGUCUGAGAGGAUGAACGGCCACACUGGGACUGAGACACGGCCCAGACUCCUACGGGAGGCAGCAGUGGGGAAUCUUCCGCAAUGGACGAAAGUCUGACGGGCAACGCCGCGUGAGUGAAGAAGGUUUUCGGAUCGUAAAGCUCUGUCUUUUAGGACGAAUGUAUUCUAUGUAAAUAAUGUAGGAUAAUGACGGUACUGAAGGAGGAAGCCACGGCUAACUACGUGCCAGCAGCCGCGGUAAUACGUAGGUGGCGAGCGUUGUCCGGAAUCAUUGGGCGUAAAGGGCGCGUAGGCGGGAUGAUCAGUCUGUCUUAAAAGUUCGGGGCUCAACCCCGUGAUGGGAUAGAAACUGUCAUUCUUGAGUGCAGGAGAGGAAAGUGGAAUUCCCAGUGUAGCGGUGAAAUGCGUAGAUAUUGGGAGGAACACCAGUGGCGAAGGCGACUUUCUGGACUGUGUCUGACGCUGAGGCGCGAAAGCUAGGGAAGUGAACGGGAUUAGUUACCCCGGUAAUCCUACCCGUCAACGAUGGGUACUAGGUGUAGUGGGUAUCGACCCCUUGUGCGCCGGAGUGAACGCGAAUAAGUACCCCGCCUGGGGAGUACGGCCGGAAGGCUAAA